AUACGGAGGGUGCAAGCGUUAAUCGGAAUUACUGGGCGUAAAGCGCGCGUAGGCGGCUUGUUAAGUCAGAUGUGAAAGCCCUGGGCUCAACCUGGGAACUGCAUUUGAUACUGGCAAGCUAGAGUAUGGUAGAGGAUAGUGGAAUUCCAGGUGUAGCGGUGAAAUGCGUAGAUAUCUGGAGGAACAUCAGUGGCGAAGGCGGCUGUCUGGACCAAUACUGACGCUGAGGUGCGAAAGCGUGGGGAGCAAACAGGAUUAGAUACCCUAGUAGUCC
rnacentral:rRNA from 1 species